GUACUGAUGAGAAGUCCCAAACCAGGACGAAACAGCUGUCCAGUAC
rfam:Trichobilharzia regenti genome assembly, scaffold: TRE_scaffold0027557